CAGCAACAUAAGCGUGUCUGUUUUGUUUUAUCAUCUGCAGACAAACAUUAUGUCUUUUUUCAGCAAAUAACUUUUUUGAAUCGGGAAAUAUACUAUGAGGAAAAAAAGGAACUAUUAAGACUUCAGUCAUUGUGACGACAGGCCGUCCUUCCAGUCACAUGUUUGAUCGUCGUGGGAGUUUUCACCGUCAAAUCCGAAUUCAGACGUAACCCUGUAUGAAUUGUCAAAAUACUACGGUUUGAGGAUUUAUAGAAUUUCCGACAAAUUAGAGAAAUUUACUGUUUCUGAUAAUUCUAGUAUGUUUACAGUGUGCUAUUGUACUCUUGGCAAGAAAUAGAAUAUCUCUAGUUGAUAUCCAAGUACCUUGUGGAUAAAUAUAUAUCAGAAGCUUCCUGAGCAGGUGGUAUUGUCAAACUGGUGUUCACGUUCUUGUUCCCAAUUCGCCCUCAUUUCACUACGGUUCCGUAUCUUUGCAAGGGCAGGGUUAUCAGCCUUAUAAAUAUGUGUUUCUUUUUAUUCAACUUUAUAUUCAAACCAUUCAUAAACAUAGUUGGUAAACAGUAUAAAUACGUAUUUUGUAGCGAACACCUUGUGUAUAAAAGUUGGAUAUAUAUUUCAGCGUAGCGUGAGUUGAAAUGAAACAGCAGAUUAUAUAGCUUAUAUCUUAAGCUGUAGAAUGUUUUUAAUGUGUAUUUUGUAAGCAGGAAAUACUUAUAUCAGACAAAACAUCAAAAGACAGAUGCGUUUACGUAUUAACCUUUACCCUGCUAAAUAUUUAAAAUGGACCGGUCCAUCAUUCAAUUUUGGCCAUACCACUUAUUAUUCAAAGGGGUGUUCACUGAAAAAUUACUGACUGAAUAGCGAACUGUGCAGACCAUGAUCAGACUGCACUGGUCGCAAAGGCAGAACCACUUGCCGCCAGCAGGCUAAGGGUUAAUAUACCAUCGUAAUAUUUCGAAAUAAGUAACACAGCCAUUAAUAAAGAACGAUAACAUCACAACAAGACCUAGUGAUAUAAAUCAUUUCUACAAGAGUGAAACAAUAUAAAAGUGUUUAUCAUCCCUAUGUAAAAAUGUAACUAAAAUUAACAUAGCAUUGAGGACAAUAAAAAAUAUUUGUCUUUGAUUACCUUAAAUAAAACAUUCGUUGGGAUGAAACAAGCUCUUGAAUGAUUACAAGACUUAUCUGUCCAUUUUCUUUAACAUCUAAACUAUUGAAAUAUCAAUUGUUUUUUAUUCUAGUUUCUGUUCAAGUCCCUGUCCCUAGAUUUUUGCGCCUAAAACCGACGUUUUAUACUUUCGGUGCUUCUUCAUUUGUAUAAGUUGAUUAUGUUUGCCUAAUAUAGGCUUCAUAAAUACACUGUAACGUCAUGUGUCGUUCAACAUAGUCAGUAAUUAGUAAGCGACUUUAGGAAUGCAUCUACAGUCUCUGAGAGAAAGUGGAAUUAUUUUCUGGUUUCAUAUUAAAAUUGCUUCACGGAACCGGUAGAUGGAUUUCAAACCCUAAUCAAUAAAAGCCCGAGGACCAACAAUAUAUCAAACAUCUUUGGAGUUUCAAUAGUGUAAACGGGGCCUCCGUGGCAGAGUGGUUAAGAUCACUGACUUCAAAUCACUUGCCCCUCACCGAUAUGGGUUCGAGCCUCUCUCGGGGCGUUGAAUUCUUCCUUUUAAAAAGCCAUCAAGCUGGCUUGCCGAAGGUCGGUGGUUCUACCAAAGUACUCACUCGUGAUGGAAUUAACCACGGAGGGACACCUGGGGUCUUCCUCCACCAUUUACAGCUGGAAAGUCGCCAUAUGACCUAUAAUUGUGUCGGCGUGACGUUAGACCCAAUGAAGAAAAAAACAAAGUUGAUAGGGAAGACGCUAUAAAAUAUAGACAUUAAUCGUUUGUCAUGCAUUUACAAUUUCGCUCGUCCUACUGAGGGCGUAAAUUUGAAUAUUCGAUUCAUUUAAGGUACUAGCCAAAAAUAAAAUACUUCUGACUUGUCUGAGAACGAUAUCAAAAUCCAGUAUUAUAUUAUUACAGAAAUGUGAUAAAUACUUUCAUAAUGUAACGCUUUUGCGAUAUUUGCCAAAUUAUAUAUUUUGUUUGUUCUCGUUGUUGAGUUAUUGCUUAUAGAAAAUAAUAUAGACGUGUAACUUAUUUCGAAAUAUUACAGAAAUAUAUCAAGUUGUUGCAAUUGUAUAUAUAUACAGUGCAACCUCUGUAGAGCAGCACCCUUUGGGAGAUACAAAUAUUGACUGUUAUGUAGAGGUUGUUGUUCUGGAGAGGUAAAUUUGAUAGUAUAUUUCAGCUUAGGGAAAUUUUGAUGAUGUUGUUAUAGAGAUUUUUGCUUAAGAGAGGGCUGCUCUGGAGAGGUUGUACUGUAUACAUUAUUCUACUUCUUGACACAUCGAACUUGUUCAUCUUUACACAUAUCGUACUUACAGAGCUAUUUUGCCCCUUAUUACUUUGUGUUGUACAUUAGUAUUGCAGAAUUUGCAUUUAUUUUCUCAUUAUUUGAUAAAUAAUGCAACUGAA